rnacentral:rRNA from 1 species
UAGCGAAGGGGCUAGCGUUGCUCGGGAAUCACUGGGCGUAAAGGGGUGCGUUAGGCGGGUCAUUUAAGUCAGGGGUGAAAUCCUGGAGCUCAACUCCAAGAACUGCCUUUUGAUACUGAGGAUCUUGAGUUCGGGAGAGGUGAGUGGAACUGCGAAGUGUAGAGGUGAAAUUCGUAGAUAUUCGGCAAGAACACCAGUGGCGAAGGCGGCU